GGCUUCACGCAGUCUACCUGUGCAGAGCAUAUGCCCCUUUGCCCUUCCAGACUCCAAAGUGCUAUAUUACUGCUGUUUGUCUCUCUUGAGCCACCGUAACUGCAUCGCUUUAACACUUCAUCAAAAUAGUGUGAAUUAAUCGAAGAUAAAUCAUAUACAGUAUAUAACAUUUUACGUUUUUUUUUCCCGAGGUCUUAGUUGCGCAAUUUGACAUCUAACCAAGAUGUUUGGUGCAGUAUUUCUCAAGUGACAAAAUGUGCAUGAAAACUAGUCGUCUCUCAUUGAAUGACAACAAACUCUUUGUUGAAGACUCCUUCCCCUAAUUCUCACUUCUACUAGGAGUAGUACUGCUAACCAAUCUCUUAUGAAGAGGCGGUAGACUCAAGAAAACUUGCCUCAAGAAAAACAGACGGGUGCAACUUUGCUUAACUGAGCUCAAGGCUAGAAAUCAACACAUCUGAAGAAAUAUAAAUGAAAAUGAAAGAUGCCAUCUCUUCUAGAAAGAGCCCAGAUGUUACAUCAUCCCGACAACCCUCAGGUGCAUUCAUUCAGGAGGUACUUGAGUCACACAAUAGCAGGUGCAUGCCUGAUGUCACCCUAUGCCAGCUGGUGUUGGCUGCUCCACUCAGGUUACCUACAUGCGCCUCACAUUAUUUACCACACAUAAAAACAAUUUAUAUUCAUUCAGUUGUCAAAUUCUUACAUGUCAGAGUUUUUACAUGACAUAAAAUGUGUACCUCUGGUACGAAUAGCGAUCCCCAAAAAUAUUUUCUUACCCCG
rnacentral:lncRNA from 1 species